rnacentral:lncRNA from 1 species
GUACCUCUUUCUUUCCCCGUGUCCUCAGGCUGUUUCGAGCGCUCUUGCUGGCUUGCCACCUGGCUGCCAUCUUGUUAUCAUGAACGUUUCCCACUGGUGGCUUUUACUUUGGGGUGAUUCUGUAGAUGAAGUACUUGUAGGACUGAAGUCUCAGAGACUUGGGAUUUGGAGCCAAGCGAAGGAAUGGCAGAUAUGGAUGGCAUAGGGAGAGGUCAUGAACACGGGUGGGACAGGGUCCAUGAACACAGCGGGUGGGGGGUGGAGUUUGCACGCAUGAAUGCAGGUUUGUGAACAUGGAUAGAAUAACAGUUUGUGAAUAUGAACGGGAUAAAGUUUGCAGUCACGGAUGAGACAGAAUUCAUGGAUGUAGAAGAGAAGGAUCUCGUGGACAGAGAGAUGGAGGAGUUUGCAGACAUGGACCAAGUCCAUGAACAUGAAUGGUGCUUGAGAGGGCACACCAUGUUUAAAAAAAAUUAUAUAAAUGGAACCCCACCAACAGAAAGGACAUUCUUGAAUUGCUACACCAUGCGACACUUUGGUCUUUGCUGGUCUUCACUUCAUGGAGAGAUGCACACCAAGGAACUUCUUGUGUAUUCCAGUUGAUUCCAGUUGAUUCCGGCUGCUUCUGAUGACUUAGACUGAUUUGGCAGAGCCUUGUCGUCUCUGCUGGGUCGAGCCAUCACUACUGAUUCAUAUUGGUAGUUUACUAUUGAACUGGACUGCUGGCAUCCUGACAAUGAAAAAUGGAAUCGCCCCAAGAAAUUAUUUCUAAACAGGUCUAGAACACUCUUUUCCUAUUAACUUCUUUUCUCCCUACCUCUGGUUGAUGAAUUAGAAGAGAGGUUGAAGUAUUCAAGAACCC